rnacentral:rRNA from 1 species
UACGAAGGGGGCUAGCGUUGUUCGGAAUUACUGGGCGUAAAGCGCGUGUAGGCGGGCCGUUAAGUCGGGGGUGAAAGCCCAGAGCUCAACUCUGGAACUGCCUUCGAUACUGGCGGCCUGGAGCAUGAUAGAGGCGAGUGGAAUUGCGAGUGUAGAGGUGAAAUUCGUAGAUAUUCGCAGGAACACCAGUGGCGAAGGCGUCUCGCUGGUUCAUUGCUGACGCUGAGUCGCGAAAGCGUGGGGAGCAAACAGG